rnacentral:rRNA from 1 species
GAGUUUGAUCGUGGCUCAGAUUGAACGCUGGCGGCAUGCCUUACACAUGCAAGUCGAACGGUAACAGGUCUUCGGAUGCUGACAAGUGGCGAACGGGUGAGUAAUACAUCGGAACGUGCCCGAUCGUGGGGGGAUAACGGAGCGAAAGCUUUGCUAAUACCGCAUACGAUCUACGGAUGAAAGCAGGGACCGCAAGGCCUUGCGCGGACGGAGCGGCCGAUGGCAGA